rnacentral:rRNA from 1 species
GUGGGGAAUCUUGCGCAAUGGGCGAAAGCCUGACGCAGCAACGCCGCGUGGGGGAUGAAGGCUCUCGGGUUGUAAACCCCUUUCAGCAGGGACGAAUCAAGACGGUACCUGCAGAAGAAGCCCCGGCUAACUACGUGCCAGCAGCCGCGGUAACACGUAGGGGGCAAGCGUUGUCCGGAUUUAUUGGGCGUAAAGAGCUCGUAGGUGGCUGAGUAAGUCGGAUGUCAAAUCCCCAGGCUAACCAUGGGAUCCCAUCCGAUACUGCUCUGGCUAGAGACCGGUAGGGGAGCGUGGAAUUCCUGGUGUAGCGGUGAAAUGCGCAGAUAUCAGGGGGAACACCAGCGGCGAAGGCGGCGCUCUGGGCCGGUACUGACACUGAGGAGCGAAAGCGUGGGUAGCAAACAGGAUUAGAUACCCUGGUAGUCC